GGGUUGUGAGGUUAAGCGACUAAGCGUACACGGUGGAUGCCCUGGCAGUCAGAGGCGAUGAAGGACGUGCUAAUCUGCGAUAAGCGUCGGUAAGGUGAUAUGAACCGUUAUAACCGGCGAUUUCCGAAUGGGGAAACCCAGUGUGAUUCGUCACACUAUCAUUAACUGAAUCCAUAGGUUAAUGAGGCGAACCGGGGGAACUGAAACAUCUAAGUACCCCGAGGAAAAGAAAUCAACCGAGAUUCCCCCAGUAGCGGCGAGCGAACGGGGAGCAGCCCAGAGCCUGAAUCAGUGUGUGUGUUAGUGGAAGCGUCUGGAAAGGCGCGCGAUACAGGGUGACAGCCCCGUACACAAAAAUGCACAUGCUGUGAGCUCGAUGAGUAGGGCGGGACACGUGGUAUCCUGUCUGAAUAUGGGGGG
rnacentral:rRNA from 1 species